rnacentral:rRNA from 1 species
AGAGUUUGAUCCUGGCUCAGGACGAACGCUGGCGGCGCGCCUAACACAUGCAAGUCGAACGAGAGAGGAAGAGCUUGCUUUUCCGAUCGAGUGGCGAACGGGUGAGUAACGCGUGAGGAACCUGCCUCAAAGAGGGGGACAACAGUUGGAAACGACUGCUAAUACCGCAUAAGCCCACGGCUCGGCAUCGAGCAGAGGGAAAAGGAGCAAUCCGCUUUGAGAUGGCCUCGCGUCCGAUUAGCUAGUUGGUGAGGUAACGGCCCACCAAGGCAACGAUCGGUAGCCGGACUGAGAGGUUGAACGGCCACAUUGGGACUGAGACACGGCCCAGACUCCUACGGGAGGCAGCAGUGGGGAAUAUUGCACAAUGGGGGAAACCCUGAUGCAGCGACGCCGCGUGGAGGAAGAAGGUCUUCGGAUUGUAAACUCCUGUUGUUGGGGAAGAUAAUGACGGUACCCAACAAGGAAGUGACGGCUAACUACGUGCCAGCAGCCGCGGUAAAACGUAGGUCACAAGCGUUGUCCGGAAUUACUGGGUGUAAAGGGAGCGCAGGCGGGAAGACAAGUUGGAAGUGAAAUCUAUGGGCUCAACCCAUAAACUGCUUUCAAAACUGUUUUUCUUGAGUAGUGCAGAGGUAGGCGGAAUUCCCGGUGUAGCGGUGGAAUGCGUAGAUAUCGGGAGGAACACCAGUGGCGAAGGCGGCCUACUGGGCACCAACUGACGCUGAGGCUCGAAAGUGUGGGUAGCAAACAGGAUUAGAUACCCUGGUAGUCCACACCGUAAACGAUGAUUACUAGGUGUUGGAGGAUUGACCCCUUCAGUGCCGCAGUUAACACAAUAAGUAAUCCACCUGGGGAGUACGACCGCAAGG